CUGUCUCUGAUUUGUUAAGGAAAAAAAAUUUGGGCCACCCAAGCAUAGAGGACAAAACAAAGUGCCAUUCAGUUUUCUCAUUGACCUCAAUGAAUCUAUGUUGUGAUGAUCAUGCUUCUUAAAUCAAGCUACAUUAUCGACUAUCAUUUUAGCAGCUAAUUCCCUUCCUACAAUAAGGUUCGGUGACAAAAUUACCAACUAAAAUUUGCACAUUACCAACUAUAAUUUUAGUAGGUAAUUACCGACUCAAUUUUAGUAGGCAAAAAGUAACUAACUCCCUUCCUACCUUAAGGUUUGGCGAUAAAAUUAUUGAUUAUAUAUUUAGUAGAUAAUUACUGACAAAAAAAUAUUUAGUCGAUAAUUAAUAGCGACAAUCAAUUACUGACUUUAUUUCAAAGUUAGUCAGUAAUUAGUCGGUAAUUGAAAUUACCUACUAAAUAUCAUUAUAUUUAAUCGGUAAAUUCAGUAACUAUUUUUUUAAUUUCUUGUAGUGAGUACUAUUUCAUUUCAUUCCCCUCUCCAUAGAUCUUUUCUUUUUUCUUUUAUUUUCCUAUCUUUCAUUGGAUUUGCUCUAGUCAUCAUAGUUACAUACAAUGAACACUCUCUCUCAAGUCUAUACAUAACAUCCUCUCAAAGUCCAUGAUAUCAUCCCUUCAGACUUUGAUUCCGUCGUAACUGUGCUUGAUUCUCAUGCUUGGCCUAUCUCUGAUGGCUUUGAGUCCAAUGACUGG
rnacentral:misc_RNA from 1 species